UACGAAGGGGGCUAGCGUUGUUCGGAAUCACUGGGCGUAAAGGGCGCGUAGGCGGCUUUAUAAGUCGGGGGUGAAAGCCUGUGGCUCAACCACAGAAUUGCCUUCGAUACUGUAUGGCUUGAGACCGGAAGAGGUAAGUGGAACUGCGAGUGUAGAGGUGAAAUUCGUAGAUAUUCGCAAGAACACCAGUGGCGAAGGCGGCUUACUGGUCCGGUUCUGACGCUGAGGCGCGAAAGCGUGGGGAGCAAACAGG
rnacentral:ncRNA from 3 species